UACAGAGGGUGCAAGCGUUGUCCGGAUUUAUUGGGCGUAAAGCGUUUCGUAGGCGGUUUGGUAAGUUACACUUCAAAGCCCGGGGCUCAACCUCGGAAAGGGGUGUAAUACUAUCAGACUUGAAAUAUUUCGGGGCUUUCGGAACUGUCGGUGUAGGAGUGAAAUCCGUUGAUAUCGACAGGAACACCAAGGGCGUAGGCAGAAAGCUAGGAAUUUUUUGACGCUGAUGAACGACAGCUAGGGGAGCGAAAGGG
rnacentral:rRNA from 1 species